AGGUUCAUAAUUCUUGGCAGAGAGAUUGGAGGAAAAUUUGGGGAGCAUUUCUUUAUCAUGAUCCAGUAUUCCUUUGUUUUUUUUUCAGCUACUGUAAGAAAUCCUAAGCUUCUCAUUAAGUUCAACUUGCUUCUCAAAGGCGAAAAGAAGAGCUGAAUGGUCUUCACUAUGAUGUUUCUUGGCUCCCCCAGAGGAUGUUAGCACCAGGUGGUCCUAGAAAGAACUGC